rnacentral:rRNA from 1 species
AACGCUGGCGGCGUGCUUAACACAUGCAAGUCGAACGGUAAGGCCCUUCGGGGUACACGAGUGGCGAACGGGUGAGUAACACGUGGGUGAUCUGCCCUGCACUUCGGGAUAAGCCUGGGAAACUGGGUCUAAUACCGGAUAGGACCAUGGACUUCACGGUUUGUGGUGGAAAGCUUUUGCGGUGUGGGAUGGGCCCGCGGCCUAUCAGCUUGUUGGUGGGGUAAUGGCCUACCAAGGCGACGACGGGUAGCCGGCCUGAGAGGGUGUCCGGCCACACUGGGACUGAGAUACGGCCCAGACUCCUACGGGAGGCAGCAGUGGGGAAUAUUGCACAAUGGGCGCAAGCCUGAUGCAGCGACGCCGCGUGAGGGAUGACGGCCUUCGGGUUGUAAACCUCUUUCAAUAGGGACGAAGCGCAAGUGACGGUACCUAUAGAAGAAGCACCGGCCAACUACGUG